rnacentral:rRNA from 1 species
UACGUAGGGGGCAAGCGUUGUCCGGAAUCAUUGGGCGUAAAGAGCGUGUAGGCGGCCAGGUAGGUCGGUUGUGAAAACUGGAGGCUCAACCUUCAGAGGUCGACCGAAACCAUCUGGCUAGAGUCCGGGAGAGGAGAGUGGAAUUCCUGGUGUAGCGGUGAAAUGCGCAGAUAUCAGGAAGAACACCCGUGGCGAAAGCGGCUCUCUGGAACGGUACUGACGCUGAGGAGCGAAAGCGUGGGGAGCGAACAGG